AACGCACAUUGCGCCCCUUGGUAUUCCGGGGGGCAUGCCUGUUCGAGCGUCAUUAACAACCCUCAAGCGCAGCUUGGUAUUGGGCCUCGCCGUUCGUUCGGCGGGCCUUAAAAUCAGUGGCGGUGCCGUCGUGGCCCUGAGCGCAGUAAAUAUCCUCGCUAUAGGGACCUGGCGGACGCUGGCCAUCAACCCCCACUCUCUAAGUUUGACCUCGGAUCAGGUAGGGAUACCCGCUGAACUUAA
rnacentral:misc_RNA from 1 species